GUAGUUUUUAUAUUUUUCUCUUCUAUAAUUUUUCAAUUUUUGUUAAGGGUAUCAUCAGAUAUUGAAAGUUUUCAGUUAUGGAAUUUUUGCAUUACUUCUCACAUGUUGCUUAUUGUAAAGUGUCAAUCUAUUUCACAAAGUAUAUUUUUUGAAGAAUUAAAAAAGAAAAGGAUUCUUUCUUUUUAACUUACUGAUCACCGUAAAGAUAAACUGCCGCCAUUUGCCUGGCUCCUUUGCCGAUUUUUCACGCUUCUUCAUCACACGUCGUACAGGCAGAAAAAUGUGAUCGCAAUAACAGAAUGUUUCUGAAUUGUCGACGGAUUCGAACCGGAGAUCGAAUAGAGAUGAGAUUCGCGAGCGACGAGAAACCGAUACAUUUGUACAAACUAAACGGUAACCUGCCUCAUACUCGACCAAUUUCCCAGGCAUCCUUAUCUCGUCUCACUAACGAAGGCGAUAAAUAUUGUACAUAACGUGUAAAUUGAAGUAUAUGCGCAUAUUCUUUGCAUACAAUAAAUAUACCUUCUUUUA